rnacentral:rRNA from 8 species
AGACCCGAAACCCGGUGAUCUAGCCAUGGGCAGGUUGAAGGUUGGGUAACACUAACUGGAGGACCGAACCGACUAAUGUUGAAAAAUUAGCGGAUGACCUGUGGCUGGGGGUGAAAGGCCAAUCAAACCGGGAGAUAGCUGGUUCUCCCCGAAAGCUAUUUAGGUAGCGCCUCGUGAAUUCAUCUCCGGGGGUAGAGCACUGUUUCGGCUAGGGGGCCAUCCCGGCUUACCAACCCGAUGCAAACUGCGAAUACCGGAGAAUGUUAUCACGGGAGACACACGGCGGGUGCUAACGUCCGUCGUGAAGAGGGAAACAACCCAGACCGCCAGCUAAGGUCCCAAAGUCAUGGUUAAGUGGGAAACGAUGUGGGAAGGCCCAGACAGCCAGGAUGUUGGCUUAGAAGCAGCCAUCAUUUAAAGAAAGCGUAAUAGCUCACUGGUCGAGUCGGCCUGCGCGGAAGAUGUAACGGGGCUAAACCAUGCACCGAAGCUGCGGCAGCGAACGUAUCACCCAAGACAACUUUACGGAGUUGACGAUUGACGGAGCGAAGCGACGUCAAAGCGUUCAUUAAAGUCGAGUUGGCUUAGGGAUACGUUCGUUGGGUAGGGGAGCGUUCUGUAAGCCUGUGAAGGUGUGUCGUGAGGCAUGCUGGAGGUAUCAGAAGUGCGAAUGCUGACAUAAGUAACGAUAAAGCGGGUGAAAAGCCCGCUCGCCGGAAGACCAAGGGUUCCUGUCCAACGUUAAUCGGGGCAGGGUGAGUCGACCCCUAAGGCGAGGCCGAAAGGCGUAGUCGAUGGGAAACGGGUUAAUAUUCCCGUACUUGGUGUUACUGCGAAGGGGGGACGGAGAAGGCUAUGUUGGCCGGGCGACGGUUGUCCCGGUUUAAGCGUGUAGGUGUGUGUUCCAGGUAAAUCCGGUUCACUUUAACACUGAGGCGUGACGACGAGGCACUACGGUGCUGAAGCAACAAAUGCCCUGCUUCCAGGAAAAGCCUCUAAGCAUCAGGUAACACGAAAUCGUACCCCAAACCGACACAGGUGGUCAGGUAGAGAAUACCAAGGCGCUUGAGAGAACUCGGGUGAAGGAACUAGGCAAAAUGGUGCCGUAACUUCGGGAGAAGGCACGCUGACACGUAGGUGAAGUGAUUUACUCAUGGAGCUGAAGUCAGUCGAAGAUACCAGCUGGCUGCAACUGUUUAUUAAAAACACAGCACUGUGCAAACACGAAAGUGGACGUAUACGGUGUGACGCCUGCCCGGUGCCGGAA